AGAAGCCGACGUGGCCAAGAAGCCGACGUGGCCAAGAAGCCGACGUGGCCAAGAAGCCGAUGUAACUCAAGGACUACAGAACACUGGGGAACAACUAGAGCUUUAAAACAGAAAAAGUGCACUGGAUUACAGUCUCUACUGACGAGAUUCCAGACCUCUGAGGAUUUCCUCUUGGUUGGUGAAGCUAUAACAUGGUAUGGUGGAGACCCUCAGAAUAUCUUCCAAUCAACCAGGACUUCCGGAGAAUGACUCUGAAUGAGCGACCACCGCUCCCAUUUUCCAAGAUGGAGGAAGCCUCUUCACAGACUCCACAUCCUGAAGCCACUCGACCAAUCCAUCCAAGAUGCCCAAAACAAAGAAGACUAAAGGGAAGAAGGUGGCCUUGGUUCCUGGUGUUGUCAAGAAGCAGGAGGCCAAGAAGGUGGUCAAUCCCCUAUUUGAAAAAAGGUGCAAGAAUUUUGGCAGUGGAGACUACCUUCAGCAUAAAAGGGACUUUACCCACUUUGUCAAAUGACCCACUACAUCUGGCUGCAGCGACAAAGGUCUAAAAACAGUCUACGAGUGUCUUCCAUGUUUAAUCAGGUCACCCAGAUCUUGGACCACCAAACAGCUACUCAACUACUUAAGCUGGCUCACAAAUACAGACCAGAGACAAAGCAAGAGAAGCAGAGACUGUUGGACCUGGGCUGAGAAGAAAGCUGCCAGCAAAGGGGAUGUCCCUACUAAGAAGGCACCUGUCCUUUGAGCUGCAGAUAAUACUGUUACCACCUUGGUGGAAAACAAGGAGGUUCAACUGGUAGCGACUGCACACGAUGUGGAUCCCAAACUGGUUGUCUUCCUGCCUGCCCUAAAUCGAAAGAUAGGGAUUCCCUGCUACAUAUCAAGGACAAGGCCAGGUGGGGCACCUAUUCCCAAGAAGACCUACACCACAGUCACCUUUACAGUAUUUAACUCAGAAGACAAAGGAGCUCUGGCUAGCUGGUAGAAGCAAUCAGGACCAAUUACAAGGACAGAUAUGAUGAGAUCUGCUGUCACUGGGGAGGCAAUGACCUGGGUCCAAAGUCGGUGGCUCACAUUGCCAAGUUGGAAAAGACAACAGCUAAAGACCUGGCCACCAAACUGGGCUCAGUGUAUGCUACUGGAUUUUCUGUACAUAAAGGUAAUAAAAAGUUUUCUUUCAAAAAAACAAAACAAAAUAAGGUUCAUAUAGUUAAAUAAACAAGAUAUAAUCAACAAAUUCUAUAAAUAUUUCUAGAAAAGAUGACAG
rnacentral:lncRNA from 1 species